rnacentral:rRNA from 1 species
AGAGUUUGAUCAUGGCUCAGGACGAACGCUGGCGGCGUGCCUAAUGCAUGCAAGUCGAGCGGGCUACGAUCUUCGGAUUGUAGCUUAGCGGCGAACGGGUGAGUAACACGUAGGUGAUCUACCCUUCAGAGGAGGACAACCUCAGGAAACUGAGGCUAAACCUUCAUACGUUCACUGGUAGGGAUACUGGUGAAGAAAGAGUUACCCCUAGAGGGUAGCUGCUGAAGGAUGAGCCUGCGGCCCAUCAGGUAGUUGGUGAGGUAACGGCUCACCAAGCCGAAGACGGGUAACCGGUCUGAGAGGAUGUCCGGUCACACUGGGACUGAGACACGGCCCAGACUCCUACGGGAGGCAGCAGCAGGGAAUCUUGGGCAAUGGGCGAAAGCCUGACCCAGCGACGCCGCGUGGAGGAAGAAGUCCUUCGGGGCGUAAACUCCUGGACUGGGGGACGAGGAAGGACGGUACCCCAGUAGAAAGGGACGGCUAACUACGUGCCAGCAGCCGCGGUAAAACGUAGGUCCCGAGCGUUGUUCGGAUUCACUGGGUGUAAAGGGCGCGUAGGUGGUUGUCUGUGUCUCAUGUGAAAACUCAGGGCUCAACUCCGAGAUUGCGUGGGAAACUAGGCAGCUAGAGGACGGUAGAGGGGAGUGGAAUUCCCGGUGUAGCGGUAAAAUGCGUAGAUAUCGGGAGGAACACCGGUGGCGAAGGCGGCUCUCUGGGCCGAUCCUGACGCUGAGGCGCGAAAGCUAGGGGAGCGAACCGGAUUAGAUACCCGGGUAGUCCUAGCCGUAAACGAUGGGUGCUAGGUGUUGGGGGGGUAAAGACCCUUCAGUGCCGAAGCCAACGCGAUAAGCAUCCCACCUGGGGAGUACGGCCGCAAGGUUGAAACUCAAAUGAAUUGACGG